rnacentral:rRNA from 1 species
AUUGAACGCUGGCGGCAUGCUUUACACAUGCAAGUCGAACGGUAACAGGCCUUCGGGUGCUGACGAGUGGCGAACGGGUGAGUAAUGCAUCGGAACGUACCCAGAGGUGGGGGAUAACGCAGCGAAAGCUGUGCUAAUACUGCAUGUGAUCUGAGGAUGAAAGCGGGGGACCGAGCAGCAAUGUUUGGCCUCGCGCCUUUGGAGCGGCCGAUGUCGGAUUAGCUAGUUGGUGGGGUAAAGGCCUACCAAGGCGACGAUCCGUAGCUGGUCUGAGAGGACGAUCAGCCACACUGGGACUGAGACACGGACAAGAGUCCUACGGGAGGCAGCAGUGGGGAAUGUUGGACAAUGGGCGCAAGCCUGAUCCAGCGAUGCCGCGUGCGGGAAGAAGGCCUUCGGGUUGUAAACCGCUUUUGGGAGGAACGAAACGGUGUCCGCUAAUACCGGGCGCUAAUGACGGUACCUGCAGAAUAAGCACCGGCUAACUACGUG